rnacentral:rRNA from 1 species
GACGAACGCUGGCGGCGUGCCUAAUACAUGCAAGUUGAGCGCUGAAGGUUGGUACUUGUACCGACUGGCUGAGCAGCGAACGGGUGAGUAACGCGUGGGGAAUCUGCCUUUGAGCGGGGGACAACAUUUGGAAACGAAUGCUAAUACCGCAUAAAAACUUUAAACACAAGUUUUAAGUUUGAAAGAUGCAAUUGCAUCACUCAAAGAUGAUCCCGCGUUGUAUUAGCUAGUUGGUGAGGUAAAGGCUCACCAAGGCGAUGAUACAUAGCCGACCUGAGAGGGUGAUCGGCCACAUUGGGACUGGGACACGGCCCAAACUCCUACGGGAGGCAGCAGUAGGGAAUCGUCGGCAAUGGACGAAAGUCUGACCGAGCAACGCCGCGUGAGGGAAGAAGGUUUUCGGAUCGUAAAACUCGGUUGGUAGAGAAGAACGUUGGUGAGAGUGGAAAGCUCAUCAAGUGACGGUAACUACCCAGAAAGGGACGGCUAACUACGUG